AUUGAACGCUGGCGGCAGGCCUAACACAUGCAAGUCGAGCGGAUGAGUGGAGCUUGCUCCAUGAUUCAGCGGCGGACGGGUGAGUAAUGCCUAGGAAUCUGCCUGGUAGUGGGGGACAACGUUUCGAAAGGAACGCUAAUACCGCAUACGUCCUACGGGAGAAAGUGGGGGAUCUUCGGACCUCACGCUAUCAGAUGAGCCUAGGUCGGAUUAGCUAGUUGGUGAGGUAAAGGCUCACCAAGGCGACGAUCCGUAACUGGUCUGAGAGGAUGAUCAGUCACACUGGAACUGAGACACGGUCCAGACUCCUACGGGAGGCAGCAGUGGGGAAUAUUGGACAAUGGGCGAAAGCCUGAUCCAGCCAUGCCGCGUGUGUGAAGAAGGUCUUCGGAUUGUAAAGCACUUUAAGUUGGGAGGAAGGGCAGUAAGUUAAUACCUUGCUGUUUUGACGUUACCGACAGAAUAAGCACCGGCUAACUCUGUGCCAGCAGCCGCCGUAACAC
rnacentral:rRNA from 1 species